rnacentral:rRNA from 1 species
GACGAACGCUGGCGGCGUGCUUAACACAUGCAAGUCGAACGGAAAGGCCCCUUUGGGGGUCCUCGAGUGGCGAACGGGUGAGUAACACGUGAGUAACCUGCCCUUGACUUCGGGAUAACUUCAGGAAACUGGGGCUAAUACCGGAUAGGAAUCCUUGCUGCAUGGUGGGGGUUGGAAAGCUUCGGCGGUUUUGGAUGGACUCGCGGCUUAUCGGCUUGUUGGGGGGGUAGUGGCUUACCAAGGCUUUGACGGGUAGACGGACUGAGAGGGCGACCGGCGACACUGGGACUGAGAGACGGCCCAGACUCCUACGGGAGGAAGCAGGGGGGAAUAUUGCACCAUGGGCGGAAGCCUGAUGCAGCAACGCCGCGGGCGGGAUGACGGCUUUCGUGUUGAAAACCGCUUUCAGCAGGGGCGAAGCUUGUGGUGACGGUACCUGCAGAAGAAGCACCGGCUAACUACGUG